GGUUGAUAUUCCCGUACCGGCGCUGGGCGCCAAGCUGAAUCUCGCUGUACUAACCUCCCGCGGGUGGUGGCCUUCGGGUUGCUGCCGGUGGUUGGGAUCUUGGCGGGUAGUAGGCAAGCGAUGGGGUGACGCAGGAGGGUAGUCCAUCCCGGGCGGUGGUUGUCCCGGGGUAAGCGUGUAGGACGACGCGUAGGCAAAUCCGCGUGUCAUGUGUCUGAGACCUGAUGCCGAGCC
rnacentral:rRNA from 1 species